AGCGGAUCCAUCGUGAAAUAAAAAACACAACAAAUUAGCGUGUCAUGCUUACAAUUCUAGAGGCAGCACGACCCACAUGAGAGUCUGUGUUUUGGAAAAAGAAAUGGAACCCUUUUGCAGAGGGGAACGAUAAUUAAUUCCCCCAAAUCAAAUUUGCCAGCGAUUUUUAGGUGCAUUGAAUUAGUUUUCCAAAGCCAGUCAGCUGGGAGGGGUGGAUGAAUCUGGAAACAGCCUGUUUCCUUGUGACUAAAUCAAGCCAAUAUCAAAAAGGACUCUUCCGUUUCUUUGGCUUUUUUCACAUUUUGUGUAUUUAUCAUGGUUUGUCAUGAAUUUUCUGAUGUGAGCUUUCCUUUUGAGGCUGGAAUAUGGAGUUCAAGACACGGAAGGAAUGGUCUUUUUCAAUCAGGGCACAGCUGUUGGCUUGCUCCAAUUCUGGCUUUCUGUCAUUGUUUUGGGUGCCUCAGCCGACUUUUGGUUUCUUGAGCGGCAAUUUCCUAAAUGAUUUCUGGGUCUGAGUUGGUUUUGCCUUCUUCCUUCCCAAAUUUUGUAUUCUGACGCAAUACAAACCAGAGUUUAGACAGCGGAUCCAUUAUGAAAUAAAAAACACAACAAAUUAGCCUGUCAUGCUUAGAAUUCGAGAGGCAGCACGACCAACAUGAGUUUUUGUGUUUUGGAAAAAGAAAUGGAACCCUUUUGCAGAGGGGAACGAAAAUUAAUUCCCCCAAAUCAGUUUGCCAGCGAUUUUCAGGUGCAUUGAAUUAGUUUUCCAAAGCCAGUCAGCUGGGAGUGGUGGAUGAAUCUGGAAACAGCCUGUUUCCUUGUGUCUAAAUCAGUACGAAUAUCAAAAAGGACUCUUCCAUUUCUUUGGCUUUUUUCACAUUUUGCUUGUGUACUGUCUGCUGGACUCAGUCUACGGAACUCCUGCAAACUGUGUCUCUCUGCAUUCAAGGUACAUAACUCCUCAAGCAGUUUCUCCUACAAUCAUGCUACACAAAUCCUGCAUAAUGCGUAUGCCUACUCAGAAGCUACAGAACUCGCAGAAACUGUGUGAACUACAGUGAGGAUGCAGAACUGCUGUACAAUGCCGCUCUCUACGUCUAGUUUACAGAAAUACUAUAAGCUGCAUCUCCUACACACAGGCAACAGUAAUCCUGCAUACUGCGUAUGGCAACUCGUAUGCUACAGAACUCCGGUAAACUGUCUCCUACAAUGAGGCUGCAGAACUGCAGUAAACUGCCUCUCUCUACAUCCAGUUUAUGGAACUACAGGAAGCUGCGUCUCCUACAGUCAAGCUAAAGAAAUCACACCUACUGUGUAUAACUUCUCCCAAGACACAGAACUCCCGUAAACUGUCUCCUGCACUCAGGCAGGAGUGCUGUACAGCUUCCUGUAGUUCCAUAAGCUGGAUGUAGAGAGAGCCAGUUCUCAGCAGUUCUGCUGCUUCAGUGUAGAAGACACAGUACACUGGAGUUCUGUGGCUGGGGAGAAGGCAUACGCAAAAUGCGCGAUUUCUGUAGACUGAGUGUCAGAGACGCAGCUUACAGGAGUUGGUAAGCUUACAGCUUACUCUCUCUACAUCCAGCUUAUGGAACUACAGGAAGCUGUGCCUCCUACACUCUAGCUACAGCAAAACUGCAUGCUGCGUUUGCCAAAUCCCAGGCUAUAGAACUCCUAUAAUCUGUGUCUCCUAACCUCAGCCUUCAGAACUCCUGCAAACUGCGUCUCUCUACAUCCAUGGUACAGAACUCCUGCAAGCUGUUUCUCCUACACUCACGCUACAGAAAUCCUGCAUAGUGCCUAUGCCUACUCAGAAGCUACAGAACUCACAGAAACUGUGUGAACUACAGUCAGGAUGC